rnacentral:SRP_RNA from 1 species
GCCAGGGCAUGGUGGUGCAUGCCUGUAGUCCCAGCUACUCGGGAGGCUGAGGCAGGAGGAUCACUUGAGCCCAGGAGGUUGAGGCUGCAGUGAGCUGUGACUGUACCACUGCACUCCAACCUGGGCAACAGAGUGAGACCCUGUCUCAA